rnacentral:lncRNA from 1 species
UGACGAAGCGGCGCGGCGCGGUGACGUCAUUUCGGGGGUGGUUUUGAGGUGAAAAAGCUCAGCGGCGCCGACGGAAACCCUUCCUCCUCCCCGCUUUCCUCUUCACCACUUUCUUCUUCUUUUUGGGGGGCGGCGGCAGCGACUCCUGAUCUUGGGGUCCCAGGAGGGCGGCCGUGUCCCCAAAGUGGGUGAUGGAGUCCAGGUUGACGGCUCCCAUGGCCCGGAGGCGGCGCAGCGCCCUCUGCUGGCGGCUCUCGCUCAGCCGCACCAUCAUGGACUCCUCCAGCUGCGUCCUGGAGACCCCCAAAAUGGGACAAAAUAACCCCCUGGCACCCCAACAUGGGCCCAAAUCCCCCGUUUCUGUCACCACAUCGCUC